AUACAUGCAAGUCGAGCGAGCAGAACCAGUAGAUUUACUUCGGUAAUGACGCUGGGGACGCGAGCGGCGGAUGGGUGAGUAACACGUGGGGAACCUGCCCCAUAGUCUGGGAUACCACUUGGAAACAGGUGCUAAUACCGGAUAAGAAAGCAGAUCGCAUGAUCAGCUUAUAAAAGGCGGCGUAAGCUGUCGCUAUGGGAUGGCCCCGCGGUGCAUUAGCUAGUUGGUAAGGUAACGGCUUACCAAGGCAAUGAUGCAUAGCCGAGUUGAGAGACUGAUCGGCCACAUUGGGACUGAGACACGGCCCAAACUCCUACGGGAGGCAGCAGUAGGGAAUCUUCCACAAUGGACGCAAGUCUGAUGGAGCAACGCCGCGUGAGUGAAGAAGGUUUUCGGAUCGUAAAGCUCUGUUGUUGGUGAAGAAGGAUAGAGGUAGUAACUGGCCUUUAUUUGACGGUAAUCAACCAGAAAGUCACGGCUAACUACGUGCCAGCAGCCGCGGUAAUACGUAGGUGGCAAGCGUUGUCCGGAUUUAUUGGGCGUAAAGCGAGCGCAGGCGGAAGAAUAAGUCUGAUGUGAAAGCCCUCGGCUUAACCGAGGAACUGCAUCGGAAACUGUUUUUCUUGAGUGCAGAAGAGGAGAGUGGAAUUCCAUGUGUAGCGGUGGAAUGCGUAGAUAUAUGGAAGAACACCAGUGGCGAAGCGACUCUCUGGUCUGCAACUGACGCUGAGGCUCGAAAGCAUGGGUAGCGAACAGAUUAGAUACCCUGGUAGUCAUGCGUAAACGAUGAGUGCUAUGUUGGGAGGUUUCCGCCUCUUCAUGCUGCAGCUAACGCAUAGCACUCGCCUGGGGAGUACGACGCAGUGAACUCAAGAUUGAC
rnacentral:rRNA from 1 species